rnacentral:rRNA from 1 species
UAGGGAAUCUUCGGCAAUGGACUAAAGUCUGACCGAGCAACGCCGCGUGAGUGAAGAAGGUUUUCGGAUCGUAAAACUCUGUUGUUAGAGAAGAACAAGGACGUUAGUAACUGAACGUCCCCUGACGGUAUCUAACCAGAAAGCCACGGCUAACUACGUGCCAGCAGCCGCGGUAAUACGUAGGUGGCAAGCGUUGUCCGGAUUUAUUGGGCGUAAAGCGAGCGUAGGCGGUUUCUUAAGUCUGUUGUGAAAGCCCCCGGCUCAACCGGGGAGGGUCAUUGGUAACUGGGAGACUUGACUGCAGAAGAGGAGAGUGGAAUUCCAUGUGUAGCGGUGAAAUGCGUAGAUAUAUGGAGGAACACCAGUGGCGAAGGCGGCUCUCUGGUCUGUAACUGACGCUGAGGCUCGAAAGCGUGGGGAGCAAACAGG